rnacentral:rRNA from 1 species
UACGUAGGGGGCAAGCGUUGUCCGGAAUCAUUGGGCGUAAAGAGCGCGUAGGCGGCUCGGCAAGUCCGCUGUGAAAGUCCAGGGCUCAACCCUGGAAUGCCGGUGGAAACUGUCGAGCUAGAGUCCGGAAGAGGCGAGUGGAAUUCCUGGUGUAGCGGUGAAAUGCGCAGAUAUCAGGAGGAACACCAAUGGCGAAGGCAGCUCGCUGGGACGGUACUGACGCUGAGACGCGAAAGCGUGGGGAGCAAACAGG